UGGACCUGAUAUCAAAC
rnacentral:rRNA from 1 species